rnacentral:rRNA from 1 species
AUUGAACGCUGGCGGCAGGCCUAACACAUGCAAGUCGAGCGGAUGAAGGGAGCUUGCUCCUGGAUUCAGCGGCGGACGGGUGAGUAAUGCCUAGGAAUCUGCCUGGUAGUGGGGGAUAACGUCCAGAAACGGGCGCUAAUACCGCAUACGUCCUGAGGGAGAAAGUGGGGGAUCUUCGGACCUCACGCUAUCAGAUGAGCCUAGGUCGGAUUAGCUAGUUGGUGGGGUAAAGGCCUACCAAGGCGACGAUCCGUAACUGGUCUGAGAGGAUGAUCAGUCACACUGGAACUGAGACACGGUCCAGACUCCUACGGGAGGCAGCAGUGGGGAAUAUUGGACAAUGGGCGAAAGCCUGAUCCAGCCAUGCCGCGUGUGUGAAGAAGGUCUUCGGAUUGUAAAGCACUUUAAGUUGGGAGGAAGGGCAGUAAGUUAUUACCUUGCUGUUUUGACGUUACCAACAGAAUAAGCACCGGCUAACUUCGUG